UCUGUAGCAAGGUUAACCGUAUAGGGGAGCCGGAGGGAAACCGAGUCUUAACCGGGCGUUAAGUUGCAGGGUAUAGACCCGAAACCCGGUGAUCUAGCCAUGGGCAGGUUGAAGGUUGGGUAACACUAACUGGAGGACCGAACCGACUAAUGUUGAAAAAUUAGCGGAUGACCUGUGGCUGGGGGUGAAAGGCCAAUCAAACCGGGAGAUAGCUGGUUCUCCCCGAAAGCUAUUUAGGUAGCGCCUCGUGAAUUCAUCUCCGGGGGUAGAGCACUGUUUCGGCUAGGGGGCCAUCCCGGCUUACCAACCCGAUGCAAACUGCGAAUACCGGAGAAUGUUAUCACGGGAGACACACGGCGGGUGCUAACGUCCGUCGUGAAGAGGGAAACAACCCAGACCGCCAGCUAAGGUCCCAAAGUCAUGGUUAAGUGGGAAACGAUGUGGGAAGGCCCAGACAGCCAGGAUGUUGGCUUAGAAGCAGCCAUCAUUUAAAGAAAGCGUAAUAGCUCACUGGUCGAGUCGGCCUGCGCGGAAGAUGUAACGGGGCUAAACCAUGCACCGAAGCUGCGGCAGCGACACUGUGUGUUGUUGGGUAGGGGAGCGUUCUGUAAGCCUGUGAAGGUGUGUCGUGAGGCAUGCUGGAGGUAUCAGAAGUGCGAAUGCUGACAUAAGUAACGAUAAAGCGGGUGAAAAGCCCGCUCGCCGGAAGACCAAGGGUUCCUGUCCAACGUUAAUCGGGGCAGGGUGAGUCGACCCCUAAGGCGAGGCCGAAAGGCGUAGUCGAUGGGAAACGGGUUAAUAUUCCCGUACUUGGUGUUACUGCGAAGGGGGGACGGAGAAGGCUAUGUUGGCCGGGCGACGGUUGUCCCGGUUUAAGCGUGUAGGUGUGUGUUCCAGGUAAAUCCGGUUCACUUUAACACUGAGGCGUGACGACGAGGCACUACGGUGCUGAAGCAACAAAUGCCCUGCUUCCAGGAAAAGCCUCUAAGCAUCAGGUAACAUCAAAUCGUACCCCAAACCGACACAGGUGGUCAGGUAGAGAAUACCAAGGCGCUUGAGAGAACUCGGGUGAAGGAACUAGGCAAAAUGGUGCCGUAACUUCGGGAGAAGGCACGCUGACACGUAGGUGAAGUGAUUUACUCAUGGAGCUGAAGUCAGUCGAAGAUACCAGCUGGCUGCAACUGUUUAUUAAAAACACAGCACUGUGCAAACACGAAAGUGGACGUAUACGGUGUGACGCCUGCCCGGUGCCGGAAGGUUAAUUGAUGGGGUCAGCGCAAGCGAAGCUCCUGAUCGAAGCCCCGGUAAACGGCGGCCGUAACUAUAACGGUCCUAAGGUAGCGAAAUUCCUUGUCGGGUAAGUUCCGACCUGCACGAAUGGCGUAAUGAUGGCCAGGCUGUCUCCACCCGAGACUCAGUGAAAUUGAACUCGCUGUGAAGAUGCAGUGUACCCGCGGCAAGACGGAAAGACCCCGUGAACCUUUACUAUAGCUUGACACUGAACAUUGAGCCUUGAUGUGUAG
rnacentral:rRNA from 1 species